UAAUAAAACUCUUAGCGGUUUAUCCUACGUCCUUAAGAUAUGGAUUUAUCGCCGUGGUAAUUAGCCACCAAGGUAUCAGGUAGAAAUGCCUAUAUCUCCCGAAUUUGGAAAGGUGUUUGAUGCA
rnacentral:ncRNA from 1 species